CGGUAACAGAAGAGCUUGCUCUUGCUGACGAGUGGCGGCCGGGCGAGUAACGUAUGGGGAUCUGCCGAAUGGAGGGGGACAACAGUUGGAAACGACUGCUAAUACCGCAUAAUGUCACGAGACCAAAGCAUGAGACCUUAGGGCCAUGCGCCAUUUGAUGAACCCAUAUGGGAUUAGCUAGUAGGUGAGGUAAUGGCUCACCUAGGCGGCGAUCUCUAGCUGGUCUGAGAGGAUGACCAGCCACACUGGGACUGAGACACGGCCCAGACUCCUACGGGAGGCAGCAGUGGGGAAUAUUGCACAAUGGGGGAAACCCUGAUGCAGCCAUGCCGCGUGUAUGAAGAAGGCCUUCGGGUUGUAAAGUACUUUCGGUAGCGAGGAAGGGGUUAUAUCUAAUAGGUGUAACCAUUGACGUUAACUACAGAAGAAGCACCGGCUAACUCCGUGCCAGCAGCCGCGGUAAUACGGAGGGUGCGAGCGUUAAUCGGAAUGACUGGGCGUAAAGGGCAUGUAGGCGGAUAGUUAAGCUAGGUGUGAAAGCCCCGGGCUCAACCUGGGAAUUGCAUUUAAAACUGGUUAUCUGGAGUAUUGUAGAGGAAGGUAGAAUUCCAUGUGUAGCGGUGAAAUGCGUAGAGAUGUGGAGGAAUACCGGGUGGCGAAGGCGGCCUUCUGGACAAAUACUGACGCUGAGAUGCGAAAGCGUGGGGAGCAAACAGGAUUAGAUACCCUGGUAGUCCACGCUGUAAACGAUGUCAACUUGGGAGUUUGGGUCCUAGAGACCUGGGCUCCGAAGCUAACGCGAUAAGUUGACCGCCUGGGGGAGUACGGCCGCAAGGUUAAAACUCAAUGAAUUUGACGGGGGCCCGCACA
rnacentral:rRNA from 1 species